rnacentral:misc_RNA from 1 species
AAAAUGUUUUGAUAAUAAGUAAAUCAAAGCCUGUCUACGGAAUUUGUUUCAAAUUUUGAUGAAGAGUGAAUUUACAUUAAAUAUCUACUAUCUAGAGAAAUAAAUUGAAUUCGUAUUCUCAAAUUGAAUCUUCUUGUUCAGCGUUUUUUUUUGUAAAGAUCAAGUGAAAAAAAACAGAAUAAUUUGACUUGGUGAGCUGCCUGUAAAUAUCCAAUUUAAUCAUGUCCAGGGAAUGUAUUAGUAUCCAUGUUGGGCAGGCUGGAUGUCAGAUGGGGUCAAACUGUUGGGAACUCUACGGAGUUGAACAUGGAGUAGGUCCUGAUGGUCUGCCUUGUCUAGUAGAUGGUAACAAUGACCUCACAUCCUUCUAUACUGUAU